UAAGGGCUGUGCGCAUGCCCAGUGGGGAAGGACGCAGGAGGGGAACCUAAGGCACGGUGGUCAGCUGCUUCCCUGGGCUCUGCACUGGCUUACUUAGCACAAGCACAGCUGUGGGCAAUGGUCCCACCUGAGAACUUGGACACCUGGAUCUGGUGAUGUCACCUCCCUGGACAGGGGUUGUGUAACCCUGCCCAGAGCUUUGGGGGGCCAUGGUGUGGAAAACAAGUAGCUGGGGCAAGAUCCAGGCAGACCUCAGCUUCCACCUGCUUAUCAAACAAGGCUGUGCUGUGGCCUACAGCAUCGGUCGUACAGCCCAGCUAGGAGGGUCUGGCCGCAGGGAUCUCUCUUCCAACUGUCCCCCCGCCCACUGCCCCAAACCAACACACACGCUGCUUCCAGGUGGGGAAACUUGCCCGGACUGUGUCUCCUGUGCAGAGCCUCUGGUUGCAGCCCAUCUGGGGUGAACCCUCUGGACACAGUGCUGGGUGCGGAGAGGCACAGAGGCACGACAGCCCUCUCCCUCUCCGCCUGUCUUUCUCUCCACCCCCUCCCUCCCCCAGGAGAGAGCCCUAGACUGAUGGUGGAGCCCCCGAACUCACCUGGAGUGAGGGUGAGAAAGUUGGGGUGUGGGUGAAGGUGCUGCUACACAAAUGAAACUGAGGGUUGGAAGGACUCUUGGAGGAGAGCAGGGGCCUCCUCAGCACCCCCGCAGCGUGCCCUGUGCUCUCUGGAGGGACUUCUGGGGCCCCCACCUCAUCCCUCUCUGCAGUGUGGUUCCGGGGAAGCCCGUGCUGGACUCUUCUCUCUCAUCUCUCCUGGCUCAGCCCUGGGGCCCAGGGCCAUCCCUGCACUGGCUUCCUGCACUCAGUUACUCACUUGGGCAACACACAGAGACUGCUCAAGCCAAGCCAAGUUCUGGGGACAGAGAGCCUCCCUCAGACCCUGUGGGGUAGGGUUAUUGUCUCCAGCUGCAAGAUGAGAAGAGAUAGACCCAGAAGGUUUAUGUAACUGGCCCAGCGCUGUGGACUGGGGUUCCUUGGAGCAGAGCUGUGCCGCCUCCAUCUGACAGGUGAGCUGAAGUGGAAGUUCCGUGAAGACUGUCUUGGGUUUGAAGGCAGGCAGAGAGACGGCCGGAUGGAGCUCAGUGGGGAGGAGCCUUGCUCACAAACAGGAGCUAAAACACUACAAACAGUCGUCUCCUUCUGUAAAGAACAAAGCAAACCUGUCACACACUUAGAGCCUAGGGCUCUCAGGAGGUCAGUGGAUCCAACUCUGCCUCCAUUCAGCAGGUGGAAACAUUGGAGGUGGAAAAGGGGGGCUCUGCCACUGCACAAGGGUGCAUGGCGAGUGCUCCACCCCAGGAGAGGGGAGAGAGGGUAAGGCCUGGGCCUUUUGAAACUGUUUUGGCAAUAGUUCAUUGUGUUGCUUGCCUUCUUGCGUUUUUCACUGACAGACAUUUUUUUGAGCAGCUUUAGGUUAUAGAAAAAAAUGAGUGGAAAGUAAAGAGAUUUCUCCUUUAUCUGCCCUGCCUGCUCCCAGUUUCCCCUAGAAGUAACACCUUGCUUUAGCAGGUACAUAUUUUACAAUUGGUGAACCAGUGUUGAUACAUGUUUAUUAACUAAAGUGCAAAGUUUACAUUAGGAUUCACUCUCUAUGUUGUAUGUUCAGUGGGUUUUGACAAAUGUACAUGCUGUGUAUCCACUGUUACAAUAUCAUACAUGAAAGUGUCGCUACCCUAAAAAUCCUGUAUGCUCCACCUGCUGUCUCUCUCCUCCCAUCCCCACUGCUCUGAACUCCUGGCAGCCACCAAUGUUUUUACUGCCUCUAUAGUUUUGUCUUUUCCAGGAUGUCACAUAGUUGGAAUUAUAAAGUAGGUAACCUUUUCAGAUUGGCUUCUUUCCCUUAUCAAUAUGUAUCUAAAGUUCCUCUAUGUCUUUUUGUGACUUUGGUAAUAAUCAUUUAUUUUAAUGCAUGGCCAUUUCACUGUGUUAAUCACCUUGUCUAAAAAAUGUGGUAAAAUAUACAUAACAAAUUGACCAUUUGGGCCAUUUUAAAGCGUGUGAUUCAGUGGCAUUAAGGAUAUUCACACUGUCAAACCAUCACUAGUAUCCAUUUCUAGAGCUUCUUUGUCAUCCCAGGCAGAAGCCCUGUGCUCAUUAACCAAUACUUCUCCAUUCUUCCCUCCUUCCCAGCCCCUGGUAACCUCUGUUACACGUUCUGUCUCUAUGAGCUCGCCUAUUCUAGGUACCUCAUAUAAGUGGAAUCAUACAAUAUUUGACCUUUUCUUAUCUGGCUUAUUUCACUUAACAUUAUGUUUUCAAGUUUUAUUCAUGUCGUAGUAUGCAUCAGCAUGUCAUUCUUGUUUGUAGCUGAAUAAUAUUCCAUUGCAUGUCUAUGCCACAUUUUGUUAAUCCAUUCAUCUGUUCCUGGGCACCACCAUUGCUUCCAUGUCUUAACUAUUGUGAAUAACACUGCUAUCAACAUUCCUGUAUAGACAUUUGAACACCUGUUUUCAAUUCUUUUGGGUAUAUGCCUAAGAGUGGAAUUUCUGGGUCACAUGGUAAUUCUAUGUUUAGCUUUUUGAGGGACCACCAGACCAUUUUCCACAGUGACUGCAUCAUUUUAUAUUCCCACUAGCAAUGCAUAACGCACAGGUGUUAAAAUUUCUCCACUAUUUUUCAUUUUUUAAAAAAAAUUGAGAUACAUUUGGCUUGUAGUAUUUUAUUGGUGCCAGGUAUACAACCUAAUGAUUUGAUACUUGCAUUAUUAGGAAAUAAUCACCACAAGUCUAGUUAACAUUUAUCACCAUACAUAGUUACAAUUUUUUUUCUUGGGGUGAGAACUUUUAAGAUUCACUCUUUUUUUUCCUGAGCCAGGAGAAGAUCUAAUCUUUAGCAACUUUCAAAUAUGCAAUAUAGUAUUAUUAAUUACAGUCAUCAUUCUAUACAUUAUAUCCCCAGGAUGUAUUUAUUUUAAACCUGGAAGCAUGUACUUUAAACCACUUCACCCAUUUCACCCUCCCCACAACCCACUGGCAACUACCAAUCUGUUUUCUGUACCCAUGAGCUCACUUUGUUUAGGGGUUUUAUUUUUUAGAUUCCACAUAUACCUGAGAUAAUAUAGUACUUGUCUUUAUCUGACUUAUUUCACUUAGCAAAAUGAUCAUAGGCCCAUCUAUGUUGCAAAUGGCAAGAUUUCCUUCUUCUUUUAUGACCAAAUAAUAUUCCAUUGUGUAUAUUUAUCACAUUUUCUUUACCCGUUCAUCUGUUGUUGGACAGUUAGAUUGCUCCCGUUUCUUGACUAUUGUAAAUAAUGCUGCAGUAAACAUAAGAAUGCAUAUAUCUUUUUGAAUUUGUGGUUUUGUUUUAUUCAAAUAAAUUCCCAGAA